rnacentral:tRNA from 1 species
GCGUGGAUGGCGGAAUGGCAGACGCGCUACGUUGAGGUCGUAGUGAGAAAGUUUCUCGUGAGGGUUCAAAUCCCUUUCCGCGCA